AGUGAUAUUUAAAUAGCCGCGGUAUAUUGACCGUGCGAAGGUAGCAUAAUCAUUAGGCUAUUAAUUGUAGUCUGGAAUGAAGGGUUUGACAUAGAGUAUACUUUCUUAAUUGUAUUUUUGAAUUUUAAUAAUUGGUAAAAAUGCUAAUUAGCCUAAAAAAGACAAGAAGACCCUAUUGAAUUUUACAGUUAGUUUUUAUUUUUUUGGUGAUAUGAAGAAUUUUUCUGUUUGGUUGGGGCAACUGCUAUAAGGGAUAUAGUAUUUAUUUUAUAUUUUGAUCCAUUAUUUAUGAUAAUUAGAUUAAAUUACCAUAGGGAUAACAGUUUAAUUUUAUCAGAGAGUUCAUAUCGAUGAUAGAGUUUAGCACCUCGAUGUUGGAUUAAAUACCUGUUGGGAGCAGCGUUUCAAUAAGGUGGACUGUUCGUCCAUUUAAUUUUUACA
rnacentral:rRNA from 1 species